UUGUUGUAUUACCUCGCCUAUGGAAGGCUUGAGGGAAUGACAAGAACAGGGAAAAUACUAUCCAUUUCAUUGUAGGAUAGGCUAUCUUCCGUUAUGUGAUUAAGAGAAUUGUUCAUAUGGUUGAUAAUAGUAUUAUUCUUGUUAUCGUAUAGAUCGUGAAGCGGAUUCAAGUUGAGCUCUUGAGCCAGUGGGUUAAGACCAGGUAUGUUAAAGCUAUCCCUUCUUUCCUUUUGGCAUGAUCCAUAUGAUAAAAAUGAAACGAGCAAACGCACAACUUUCAUUAAUGACACUAUUCUUAGAAGUACUAGGGGUUCCUAUGUUCUUGAUUCCACACGUUUCCUAUUAUUCUAUCAUCUAUUCAUAGGUCUCAGAAAAUAAUUAAGUUGAUAAAAUUUAUUUCAUGAUAUUAAUUAAAGACAUAAUGAUCUUAUGACAUUCCGAGAGAUCCUAUUGACUUAUUUCAUUAUGCAUUGCAUUCAUUUAUACAUGUACAUUGACCCAUGACCAGAUGGCGUUAUAUACGCAUAUAUUAUAUGGGAUAUGGGGAAAGGAUAGCGUUAUAUAUGCAUUACCACCUGAUCAGCUGGUAUACGUUGAUGAUUUCGCCCACAGUGGCCGAGAUGAUAUGAUGGGAUGCCCUCAGAGGCUUGAUGAUGUUAUGUACGCAUAUACCUAUGCAUCAUAUGACAUUUAUACGCAUAUGCAUGACAUUAUAAAUAUUCACAGAGCUAUUCAGACUUACAUGUUGAGUCUUUUACUCCGUGUUUCUCUCAUGUCUUUUAUUUACUGAUUUUCAUUCCUUACAUACUCGGUACAUUAUUUGUACUAACGUCCCUUUUGCUUGGGGACGUUGCGUUUCAUGCCCGCAGGUCCUGAUAGACAGGCUGACAGUCCUCCUAGUAGGCUAUCAGCUCAGCGGAAGGUAUUGGUGCACUCCACUUGCUCUGGAGUUGCCUAUUUGGUCAGUAUGCUUUUAAGAUGUAUUGAUCUGUAUGGCGGGGCCCUGCCCCGACCUUUAUGACGUUUAUGUACUCUUAGAGGCUUGUAUACAUAUGUUAUGUAUAUGGAUACUUGUAUGGCCUUGUCGGCCUAUGUUUUGAAUUUACAAGUGAUCAUGUCGGCCCGUAUGUCACAUGUAUAAGUUUCUAUAUCAGGUUGGGUCGUUCUAUGUCGAGUAUUCCCUCAUGCUUUAUUCUAGUUAUUUCAUGACGGCCUUUCCGGCUACACGAAAGAUACGUUACAUUGGUACUCAGUUGAGUAAGGCACCGGGUGCCCGUCGCGGCCCAUCGG
rnacentral:lncRNA from 1 species